UACGUAGGGUCCAAGCGUUGUCCGGAGUUACUGGGCGUAAAGCGCGCGCAGGCGGUCGCGUAAGUUCGGCGUGAAAGCCCCCGGCUCAACCGGGGAGGGUCGUCGAAGACUGCGCGACUUGAGGUCGGCAGGGGCUGGUGGAAUGCCCGGUGUAGUGGUGAAAUGCGUAGAGAUCGGGCGGAACACCCGUGGCGAAGGCGGCCAGCUGGGCCGUACCUGACGCUGAGGCGCGAAGGCGUGGGGAGCGAACGGG
rnacentral:rRNA from 1 species